rnacentral:rRNA from 1 species
AGCGAACGCUGGCGGCAGGCUUAACACAUGCAAGUCGAGCGGGCAUCCUUGUGGUGUCAGCGGCAGACGGGUGAGUAACGCGUGGGAACGUGCCCUUCGGUUCGGAAUAACUCAGGGAAACUUGAGCUAAUACCGGAUACGUGCGAGAGCAGAAAGGUUUAUCUGCCGAAGGAUCGGCCCGCGUCUGAUUAGCUAGUUGGUGAGGUUAUGGCUCACCAAGGCGACGAUCAGUAGCUGGUCUGAGAGGAUGAUCAGCCACACUGGGACUGAGACACGGCCCAGACUCCUACGGGAGGCAGCAGUGGGGAAUAUUGGACAAUGGGGGCAACCCUGAUCCAGCCAUGCCGCGUGAGUGAUGACGGCCUUAGGGUUGUAAAGCUCUUUUCUUCGGGACGAUAAUGACGGUACCGGAGGAAUAAGCCCCGGCUAACUUCGUGC